rnacentral:rRNA from 1 species
GAGCUUGCUCCUUGGGUGGCGAGUGGCGGACGGGUGAGGAAUACGUCGGAAUCUGCCUAUUUGUGGGGGAUAACGUAGGGAAACUUACGCUAAUACCGCAUACGACCUACGGGUGAAAGCGGAGGACCUUCGGGCUUCGCGCAGAUAGAUGAGCCGACGUCGGAUUAGCUAGUUGGCGGGGUAAAGGCCCACCAAGGCGACGAUCCGUAGCUGGUCUGAGAGGAUGAUCAGCCACACUGGAACUGAGACACGGUCCAGACUCCUACGGGAGGCAGCAGUGGGGAAUAUUGGACAAUGGGCGCAAGCCUGAUCCAGCCAUGCCGCGUGUGUGAAGAAGGCCUUCGGGUUGUAAAGCACUUUUGUCCGGAAAGAAAAGCAUUGGGUUAAUACCCCGAUGUCAUGACGGUACCGGAAGAAUAAGCACCGGCUAACUUCGUGCCAGCAGCCGCGGUAAUACGAAGGGUGCAAGCGUUACUCGGAAUUACUGGGCGUAAAGCGUGCGUAGGUGGUUUGUUAAGUCUGAUGUGAAAGCCCUGGGCUCAACCUGGGAAUGGCAUUGGAAACUGGCUGACUAGAGUGCGGUAGAGGGUAGUGGAAUUCCCGGUGUAGCAGUGAAAUGCGUAUAUAUCGGGAGGAACAUCUGUGGCGAAUGCGACUACCUGGACCAGCACUGACACUGAGGCACGAAAGCGUGGGGGAGCAAACAG